rnacentral:rRNA from 1 species
UACAGAGGUCUCAAGCGUUGUUCGGAUUCAUUGGGCGUAAAGGGUGCGUAGGCGGCGCGGUAAGUCGGGUGUGAAAUCUCGGAGCUUAACUCCGAAACUGCAUUCGAUACUGCCGUGCUUGAGGACUGGAGAGGAGACUGGAAUUUACGGUGUAGCGGUGAAAUGCGUAGAUAUCGUAAGGAAGACCAGUGGCGAAGGCGGGUCUCGUGGACAGUCCUGACGCUGAGGCACGAAGGCCAGGGGAGCAAACGGG